CAGAUUGUCUCGUAAUGGUAUCGAGCCUACAUUGGGUGUAGGAUUUUGAGGGUUCAAGUCCUUCCAAUCUGA